UACGUAGGGGGCAAGCGUUGUCCGGAAUUAUUGGGCGUAAAGAGCUCGUAGGCGGUUUGUCGCGUCUGCUGUGAAAACCCGAGGCUCAACCUCGGGCCUGCAGUGGGUACGGGCAGACUAGAGUGCGGUAGGGGAGACUGGAAUUCCUGGUGUAGCGGUGGAAUGCGCAGAUAUCAGGAGGAACACCGAUGGCGAAGGCAGGUCUCUGGGCCGCAACUGACGCUGAGGAGCGAAAGCAUGGGGAGCGAACAGG
rnacentral:rRNA from 1 species